CACGGUGCAUAUGGAGAUCGCAGGGGGAAAGCUCAGAGGCAGAGACGCAGCAGGGUCUGCAGUACCCUGAGCUCUCAUCAUCCCCCUCCUGGGUUCUCAGCACGGCAGGCACGUCCUCCACAGGGCCGGUGAUGCUGCAGAGGGACCUGCCCCAGCCAGCCAGCUGGGCAUGCAACCGCCGCCAAGAGAAAGGGCCCACUCCGGACUGUUGGCCAAAGAGUGCCCUCAUUUUAUGGACAAGGAAGUAGGUUCAGAGAGGAGAAGGUUCCUGCUCAAGGUCACGCAUCAGGUCCGCUUUAAACCCUGCCCCUGGCCUUUUAACACAGCUGAGCUGGACUGUGGUGGACAAAAGAAGGCCACACAUUCUUCCCAUCAAGGAAUGGAGCUUGUUUCCCCUCCCCUCAGCGUGGGCUGGCUUGUGACUUCUUCACCGAAAGAAAGUGGUGGAAGUGAUACUAUCAAUUCCAGGCCAAGGCUUGAAGUUAAGAGGGGGAGGUUUUUGCUUUUUUACCUGUGGAAAGUUCACUCUUGAGAGACUCUCUCCGAAUCCAGCUGGCGCGCAGUGAGAAUCCCAAGCCACAUGGAGAGGCCCUGUGUGGCCUCUAUUUGACAGUUCUAGUUGAACUCUCAGGCAACAGCCAGCAUCACCCACCAGACAUGUGAGUGAUCACCUUGGAAGCCCAGCCCGGUCAUGCCUGCAGAUGGUUCCAGACCCAGAAGAACCACACAGCUGAGUCUAGUCAAACCCAAGAAUCACGAGAGAACUAAGAUUUGGGGUGAUUUGGGGGUCAGCAAUAGACAACCCAAAUACUGACGUGUACAGGCAGAUGGAGUAAGAGGAAGUGGGGUGAAGCUGGAGAAGAUUAUGUGGAGCCUGAGUCGACAGUGGAGAGAGCAAGGACUCAGGUAUCAGACACAUUAAUUCCAGUUUACUACUUAGCUGCUGUGUUACCUUGGGCAAGUCACCUAACUUCUCUGGACUGCAGUUUUCCUCAAACGGGGGCAAUACGAAGCAUGAUCACAGUAGGUCCACUUGUUUACUGAACAGUGCCUGGCACAU